UUCCCAACAUCUGCGAGUGCACAACAUAAACAACGCGGAACUAUUUCUCCGAGAAGAUGUCCAUGGGAAGACUUGCACAAGUGCUCAUCACCCUUACCGCACUCCUCCUUCACACCAGCCUCCAAGCUGAAGGAGCCAUGGAAACAAACAUCAAAAAAACUAUCCCCGUACAAUCCAUGAAGCUGGUGAGUGUAAAGGAGGAAAGCGUUGUCAGGGCAUGCAAGCCAUGCCAUUGCGACUCCGGGGGCAGUAUUAUUGCGACAAACUGCUGCAUUGAGGCACAUUGUAACAGCCCCGGGGAACCACUUGGCAGUUGUGUAUUUACCAAAAUCUCAUGCGGUUGUGAUGAUAGCUGCAGGUGAUCAAAGUCCAUGCAUAAUGUAUUAAUGGUUGAUGACAAUAAAUCGUUUCUUUUUCAAGAAACAAAUUUCCUUGAUAUCA